AUUGAACGCUGGCGGCAGGCCUAACACAUGCAAGUCGAGCGAGUGGCGGACGGGUGAGUAAUGUCUGGGAAACUGCCUGAUGGUGGGGGAUACUUACUGGAAACGUUAGCUAAUACCGCAUAUUAUAACAUGUGCCCAGAUGGGAUUAGCUAGAAGGUGGGGUAACGGCUCACCUAGGCGACGAUCCCUAGCUGGUCUGAGAGGAUGACCGGCCACACUGGAACUGAGACACGGUCCAGACUCCUACGGGAGGCAGCAGUGGGGAAUAUUGCACAAUGGGCGCAAGCCUGAUGCAGCCAUGCCGCGUGUGUGAAGAAGGCCUUCGGGUUGUAAAGCACUUUCGGCGGGGAGGCGUUACCCGCAGAAGAAGCACCGGCUAACUCCGUGCCAGCAGCCGCGGUAAUAC
rnacentral:rRNA from 1 species